rnacentral:rRNA from 1 species
GUCGAACGGCAGCACAGUGUGUAGCAAUACACAUGGGUGGCGAGUGGCGGACGGGUGCGUAAUGUGUAGGGAUCUGCCCUGAAGUGGGGGACAACCCGGGGAAACUCGGGCUAAUACCGCAUAAUACUCUACGGAGGAAAUCUGGCUACGUAAGUAGCUGGAGCUUUAGGAUGAACCUACAUCCGAUUAGCUAGUUGGUGAGGUAAUAGCUUACCAAGGCGAUGAUCGGUAGCUGGUCUGAGAGGAUGACCAGCCACACUGGGACUGAGACACGGCCCAGACUCCUACGGGAGGCAGCAGUGGGGAAUAUUGGACAAUGGGGGAAACCCUGAUCCAGCAAUGCCGCGUGGGUGAAGAAGGCCUUCGGGUUGUAAAGCCCUUUAGGCGGGGAAGAAUGUUGCAGGGUUAAUAGCCUUGCAGCUUGACGGUACCCGCAGAAUAAGCACCGGCUAACUCUGUGCCAGCAGCCGCGGUAAUACAGAGGGUGCUAGCGUUAAUCGGAUUUAUUGGGCGUAAAGGGCGCGUAGGUGGUAAAGCAAGUAGAAUGUGAAAGCCCUGGGCUUAACCUGGGAAGUGCAUCCUAAACUGCUUAACUAGAGUAUGGUAGAGGGUAGUGGAAUUUCCGGUGUAGCGGUGAAAUGCGUAGAGAUCGGAAGGAACGCCAGUGGUGAAGACGACUACCUGGACCAAUACUGACACUGAGGCGCG